CAGACUCGAAUUGACGCAGACCUCAUUUGACCAAUGAGAAAAUUCUAGAAAAAAAAAUAAAGAGAAGAGAAAAAGAAAGAGACCAGCGUCUCUCUCUCUCUCACCAUUUUCUCUUCCCCUCCCCUUUCUUCCCGUUUUCCAGCCAAACGGCCACAAUUUCCGGUGAGUGAGGGCUCUAAAAUCAUCUACUCGUCGCAAGGAGUUCGAUUCAAGCAUUGGAUUGCGUGAUUUGAGUCCGGAACGAGAGAAAACUCGACCGAAAGGGUGCGAUGCCAUCGUAGCAACUUUCCUGGCCAUUCAUGCCAUUUUCGGCGACCUGAGGCUUCAAGGUGGUGGGGGACCGGUGACUGGCCGGCGAGGCUCCAAAGGCAAAAUCUUCUCCUCUUCCCGUUGAUCUCGAAUAUGUAAUCCAAUUUUUCAUUGACAUUAUUGCAGGUUCAGAGGAAUUAAUGGAUGAGUAACCGGAUGGCGAGAGAGGAGCACAACUUCUAGCUAAACUAUAAAACUUUGGGAUGAAGUGGGUCACCAUAGGUUUGUGAGACAGUACUGGAAAUGAUGAAAAUAUGAAAUGCAACCGUCGGCUAGGUAUGGGGAGAUUGGCACCCCCGUGUGCACUUGGUGAUAUGAUAUA